ensembl:ncRNA BE0003N10.4 ncRNA
UAAGCCUGAACCUAAGCCAACGCUUAAGCCUAAGCCUAAGCCUAAGCCUAAGCCUAAGCCUAAGCCAAAGCCAAAGCCUAAGCCUAAGCCUGAGCAUAAGCCUAAGCCGAAGGAUCAGCAUAAGCCUAAGCCUAAGCUUAAACCCACGCCUGAGUUUACGCCUAGGCCUAAGAAUCAGCCUAAGCCUGAGCUUAAGCUUAAGCCU